rnacentral:rRNA from 1 species
GAUGAACGCUGGCGGCGUGCUUAACACAUGCAAGUCGAGCGAAGCAGUUAAGAAGAUUUUUCGGAUGAUUUUUAACUGACUGAGCGGCGGACGGGUGAGUAACGCGUGGGUGACCUGCCCCAUACCGGGGGAUAACAGCUGGAAACGGCUGCUAAUACCGCAUAAGCGCACAGAGCUGCAUGGCUCGGUGUGAAAAACUCCGGUGGUAUGGGAUGGGCCCGCGUCUGAUUAGGCAGUUGGCGGGGUAACGGCCCCCCAAACCGACGAUCAGUAGCCGGCCUGAGAGGGCGACCGGCCACAUUGGGACUGAGACACGGCCCCAACUCCUACGGGAGGCAGCAGUGGGGAAUUUUGGACAAUGGGGGCAACCCUGAUCCAGCCAUGCCGCGUGUUUGAAGAAGGCCUUCGGGUUGUAAAGGACUUUUGCCAGGGAGCAAAUCCCGCCUGUGAAUAAUGGGCGGGGAUGAGAGUAAAAGGGGAAUAAGCACCGGCUAACUACGUG